rnacentral:rRNA from 1 species
UACGGGAGGCAGCAGUGGGGAAUAUUGCACAAUGGGCGAAAGCCUGAUGCAGCCAUGCCGCGUGUAUGAAGAAGGCCUUAGGGUUGUAAAGUACUUUCAUCGGGGAGGAAAAAACAAAACUAAUAAUUUUAUUUCUUGACGUUACCCGAAAAAGAAGCACCGGCUAACUCCGUGCCAGCAGCCGCGGUAAUACGGAGGGUGCUAGCGUUAAUCAGAAUUACUGGGCGUAAAGAGCACGUAGGUGGUUUUUUUAAAGUCAGAUGUGAAAUCCCUGGGCUUAACCUAGGAACUGCAUUUUGAAACUGAAAUACUAGAGUAUCGUAGAGGGAGGUAGAAUUCUAGGUGUAGCGGUGAAAUGCGUAGAUAUCUGGAGGAAUACCUGUGGCGAAAGCGGCCUCCUAAACGAAUACUGACACUGAGGGUGCGAAAGCGUGGGGAGCAAACAGGGAUUUAGAUACCCG